AUUGAACGCUGGCGGCAUGCCUUACACAUGCAAGUCGAACGGCAGCAUGAUCUAGCUUGCUAGAUUGAUGGCGAGUGGCGAACGGGUGAGUAAUACAUCGGAACGUGCCCUGUAGUGGGGGAUAACUAGUCGAAAGAUUAGCUAAUACCGCAUACGACCUGAGGGUGAAAGUGGGGGACCGCAAGGCCUCAUGCUAUAGGAGCGGCCGAUGUCUGAUUAGCUAGUUGGUGAGGUAAAGGCUCACCAAGGCGACGGUCAGUAGCUGGGCUGAGAGGACGACCAGCCACACUGGGACUGAGACACGGACCAGACUCGUACGGGAGGCAGCAGUGGGGAAUUUUGGACAAUGGGGGCAACCCUGAUCCAGCAAUGCCGCGUGUGUGAAGAAGGCCUUCGGGUUGUAAAGCACUUUUGUCCGAAAAGAAAUCGCACUUACUAAUAUUAGGUGUGGAUGACGGUACCGGAAGAAUAAGGACCGGCUAACUACGUGCCAGCCGCCGCCGUAAUAC
rnacentral:rRNA from 1 species